GGCCGAUCAGGCUGUUGGUGGGGUAACGGCCCACCAAACCUAUAACCGGUACGGGCCCUGAAAGGGGGAGCCCGGAGAUGGGAACUGAGACAAGGUCCCAGGCCCUACGGGGCGCAGCAGGCGCGAAACCUCCGCAAUGCGCGAAAGCGUGACGGGGUUACCCCGAGUGCCGUCCGUUGAGGAUGGCUUUUCCUUAGUGUAAGGAGCUGGGGGAAUAAAGGGGGGGCAAGUCUGGUGUCAGCCGCCGCGGUAAUACCAGCCCCCUGAGUGAUAGGGACGAUUAUUUAGCCUAAAGCAUCCGUAGCCGGUUUAGCAAGUCUUUCGUUAAAUCUGACGACUUAAUCGCCAGGCCGCGGAAGAUACUGCUAGACUAGAGGGCGGGAGAGGUUGACGGUAGUCCCGGAGUAGGGGUGAAAUCCUAUAAUCCCGGGAGGACCACCAGUGGCGAAGGCGGUCAACUAGAACGCGCCUGACGGUGAUGGACGAAAGCUGGGGGAGCGAACCGGAUUAGACACCCGGGUAGUCCCAGCUGUAAACGAUGCGGGCUAGGUGUUGGUGCAGCUACGGGCUGCUCCAGUGCCGCAGAGAAGUCGUUAAGCCCGCCGCUUGGGAAGUACGGCCGCAAGGCUGAAAC
rnacentral:rRNA from 1 species